rnacentral:tRNA from 1 species
CGGACUUUUAAUCCGUUGGUCGCGUGUUCGAGUCACGCACGACCCACCA